UGCAAGUCGAGCGGUAACAGGGGUAGCUUGCUACCCGCUGACGAGCGGCGGACGGGUGAGUAANGCAUAGGAAUUUACCCGAUAGUGGGGGAUAACCUGGGGAAACCCAGGCUAAUACCGCAUACGUCCUACGGGAGAAAGGGGGCUNCGGCUCCCGCUAUCGGAUGAGCCUAUGCCGGAUUAGCUGGUUGGUGAGGUAAUGGCUCACCAAGGCGACGAUCCGUAGCUGGUCUGAGAGGAUGAUCAGCCACAUCGGGACUGAGACACGGCCCGAACUCCUACGGGAGGCAGCAGUGGGGAAUAUUGGACAAUGGGGGCAACCCUGAUCCAGCCAUGCCGCGUGUGUGAAGAAGGCCCUCGGGUUGUAAAGCACUUUCAGUGAGGAAGAACGCUUGGCGGUUAAUACCCGCCAGGAAAGACAUCACUCACAGAAGAAGCACCGGCUAACUCCGUGCCAGCAGCCGCGGUAAUACGGAGGGUGCAAGCGUUAAUCGGAAUUACUGGGCGUAAAGCGCGCGUAGGUGGCUUGAUAAGCCGGUUGUGAAAGCCCCGGGCUCAACCUGGGAACGGCAUCCGGAACUGUCAAGCUAGAGUGCAGGAGAGGAAGGUAGAAUUCCCGGUGUAGCGGUGAAAUGCGUAGAGAUCGGGAGGAAUACCAGUGGCGAAGGCGGCCUUCUGGACUGACACUGACA
rnacentral:rRNA from 1 species